rnacentral:rRNA from 1 species
UACGUAGGUGGCAAGCGUUGUCCGGAUUUACUGGGCGUAAAGAGCGCGCAGGCGGUCGUUCAAGUCGCGUGUGAAAGCCCCCGGCUCAACUGGGGAGGGUCACGCGAUACUGAUCGACUCGAAGGCAGGAGAGGGUAGUGGAAUUCCCGGUGUAGUGGUGAAAUGCGUAGAUAUCGGGAGGAACACCAGUGGCGAAGGCGGCUCACUGGCCCGUAACUGACGCUGAGGUGCGAAAGCGUGGGGAGCAAACAGG